GGAUCCAGACUUUGAUCAUGGCUCAGGAUGAACGCUAGCUACAGGCUUAACACAUGCAAGUCGAGGGGCAGCGGGAUUGAAGCUUGCUUCAAUUGCCGGCGACCGGCGCACGGGUGAGUAACGCGUAUCCAACCUUCCGUACACUCAGGGAUAGCCUUUCGAAAGAAAGAUUAAUACCUGAUAGUAUCUUAAGCACACAUGUAAUUAAGAUUAAAGAUUUAUCGGUGUACGAUGGGGAUGCGUUCCAUUAGGUAGUCGGCGGGGUAACGGCCCACCUAGCCAACGAUGGAUAGGGGUUCUGAGAGGAAGGUCCCCCACAUUGGAACUGAGACACGGUCCAAACUCCUACGGGAGGCAGCAGUGAGGAAUAUUGGUCAAUGGACGAGAGUCUGAACCAGCCAAGUAGCGUGAAGGAUGAAGGUCCUACGGAUUGUAAACUUCUUUUAUAAGGGAAUAAACCCUCCCACGUGUGGGAGCUUGUAUGUACCUUAUGAAUAAGCAUCGGCUAACUCCGUGCCAGCAGCCGCGGUAAUACGGAGGAUGCGAGCGUUAUCCGGAUUUAUUGGGUUUAAAGGGAGCGCAGACGGGUCGUUAAGUCAGCUGUGAAAGUUUGGGGCUCAACCUUAAAAUUGCAGUUGAUACUGGCGUCCUUGAGUGCGGUUGAGGUGUGCGGAAUUCGUGGUGUAGCGGUGAAAUGCUUAGAUAUCACGAAGAACUCCGAUUGCGAAGGCAGCACACUAAUCCGUAACUGACGUUCAUGCUCGAAAGUGUGGGUAUCAAACAGGAUUAGAUACCCUGGUAGUCCACACGGUAAACGAUGGAUACUCGCUGUUGGCGAUAUACUGUCAGCGGCUUAGCGAAAGCGUUAAGUAUCCCACCUGGGGAGUACGCCGGCAACGGUGCAAC
rnacentral:rRNA from 1 species